UAGGGAAUCUUCGGCAAUGGGGGGAACCCUGAUCGAGCAACGCCGCGUGAGUGAAGAAGGCUUUCGGAUCGUAAAGCUCUGUUGUUAAGGAAGAACGAGUGUGAGAAUGGAAAGUUCAUACUGUGACGGUACUUAACCAGAAAGGGACGGCUAACUACGUGCCAGCAGCCGCGGUAAUACGUAGGUCCCGAGCGUUGUCCGGAUUUAUUGGGCGUAAAGCGAGCGCAGGCGGUUAGAUAAGUCUGAAGUUAAAGGCAGUGGCUCAACCAUUGUAGGCUUUGGAAACUGUUUAACUUGAGUGCAGAAGGGGAGAGUGGAAUUCCAUGUGUAGCGGUGAAAUGCGUAGAUAUAUGGAGGAACACCGGUGGCGAAAGCGGCUCUCUGGUCUGUAACUGACGCUGAGGCUCGAAAGCGUGGGGAGCGAACAGG
rnacentral:rRNA from 1 species